GUACACGCCGUAAACGAUGGGCACUAGGUGUAGGAGGUAUUGACCCCUUCUGUGCCGAAGCUAACGCAUUAAGUGCCCCGCCUGGGGAGUACGGCCGCAAGGUUAAAACUCAAAGGAAUUGACGGGGGCCCGCACAAGCGGUGGAGCAUGUGGUUCAAUUCGACGCAACGCGAAGAACCUUACCUGGGCUUGACAUCCGCUGACCGUCCUAGAAAUAGGAUUUUCCCCGCAAGGGGACAGCGAGACAGGUGCUGCAUGGCUGUCGU
rnacentral:rRNA from 1 species